GACGAACGCUGGCGGCGUGCUUAACACAUGCAAGUCGAACGGAAAGGCCCUGCUUUUGUGGGGUGCUCGAGUGGCGAACGGGUGAGUAACACGUGAGUAACCUGCCCUUGACUUUGGGAUAACUUCAGGAAACUGGGGCUAAUACCGGAUAGGAGCUCCUGCUGCAUGGUGUGGGUUGGAAAGUUUCGGCGGUUGGGGAUGGACUCGUGGCCUAUCAGCUUGUUGGUGGGGUAGUGGCUUACCAAGGCUUUGACGGGUAGCCGGCCUGAGAGGGUGACCGGCCACAUUGGGACUGAGAUACGGCCCAGACUCCUACGGGAGGCAGCAGUGGGGAAUAUUGCACAAUGGGCGGAAGCCUGAUGCAGCAACGCCGCGUGCGGGAUGACGGCCUUCGGGUUGUAAACCGCUUUCGCCUGUGACGAAGCGUGAGUGACGGUAAUGGGUAAAGAAGCACCGGCUAACUACGUG
rnacentral:rRNA from 1 species